CCAAUAGCGUAUAUUAAAGUUGUUGCAGUUAAAAAGCUCGUAGUUGAAUUUCGGGACCAGAAUGUCGGUCGUGCCUCGGUACGUACUGGCAUCGUGGGUUCCUACCUUCUGAAGAACCGCGAGGUCAUUAAUUUGGUGUCGUGGGGAAUCAGGACUGUUACUUGGAAAAAAUUAGAGUGUUUAAAGCAGGAUCACGCUUGAAUACAUGAGCAUGGAAUAAUGAAAUAGGACGUUUGAUUCUAUUUUGUUGGUUUCUAGGAUCGACGUAAUGAUUAAUAGGGAGAGUUGGGGGCAUUAGUAUUCAAUUGUCAGAGGUGAAAUUCUUGGAUGUAUUGAAGACUAACUACUGCGAAAGCAUUUGCCAACGAUGUUUUCAUUAAUCAAGAACGAAAGUUAGGGGAUCGAAGACGAUCAGAUACCGUCGUAGUCUUAACCAUAAACUAUGCCGACUAGGGAUCGGAUGAUGUUAAUUUUUUAAUGACUCAUUCGGCGCCUUACG
rnacentral:rRNA from 1 species